GUUAGCGGCGGACGGGUGAGUAACACGUGGGUAACCUGCCUGUAAGACUGGGAUAACUCCGGGAAACCGGGGCUAAUACCGGAUGGUUGUCUGAACCGCAUGGUUCAGACAUAAAAGGUGGCUUCGGCUACCACUUACAGAUGGACCCGCGGCGCAUUAGCUAGUUGGUGAGGUAACGGCUCACCAAGGCGACGAUGCGUAGCCGACCUGAGAGGGUGAUCGGCCACACUGGGACUGAGACACGGCCCAGACUCCUACGGGAGGCAGCAGUAGGGAAUCUUCCGCAAUGGACGAAAGUCUGACGGAGCAACGCCGCGUGAGUGAUGAAGGUUUUCGGAUCGUAAAGCUCUGUUGUUAGGGAAGAACAAGUGCCGUUCAAAUAGGGCGGCACCUUGACGGUACCUAACCAGAAAGCCACGGCUAACUACGUGCCAGCAGCCGCGGUAAUACGUAGGUGGCAAGCGUUGUCCGGAAUUAUUGGGCGUAAAGGGCUCGCAGGCGGUUUCUUAAGUCUGAUGUGAAAGCCCCCGGCUCAACCGGGGAGGGUCAUUGGAAACUGGGGAACUUGAGUGCAGAAGAGGAGAGUGGAAUUCCACGUGUAGCGGUGAAAUGCGUAGAGAUGUGGAGGAACACCAGUGGCGAAGGCGACUCUCUGGUCUGUAACUGACGCUGAGGAGCGAAAGCGUGGGGAGCGAACAGGAUUAGAUACCCUGGUAGUCCACGCCGUAAACGAUGAGUGCUAAGUGUUAGGGGGUUUCCGCCCCUUAGUGCUGCAGCUAACGCAUUAAGCACUCCGCCUGGGGAGUACGGUCGCAAGACUGAAACUCAAAGGAAUUGACGGGGGCCCGCACAAGCGGUGGAGCAUGUGGUUUAAUUCGAAGCAACGCGAAGAACCUUACCAGGUCUUGACAUCCUCUGACAAUCCUAGAGAUAGGACGUCCCCUUCGGGGGCAAAGUGACAGGUGGUGCAUGGUUGUCGUCAGCUCGUGUCCUGAGAUGUUGGGUUAAGUCCCGCAACGAGCGCAACCCUUGAUC
rnacentral:rRNA from 1 species